AUGCUACUCUUUCAGAUGGCAGUCCAUGCCGGGGAGAAGAUGGGGAAGAACGGCCUCAAGGACACUGACUCGAUCGCAACGCCGAUUGUGAGCGGCACGACGCACUGGUCCAAGAGCUCGGGCGACCUCAUCGCGUUCAAGGAAGGACGGCGCCACAGCUUCGAGUACGGCCGCUACGGCAACCCCACUAUGAAGGUCCUAGAGGACAAGAUCAGUGCCCUAGAGAGGGCUGAGUCGACGCUUGUCACGUCCUCGGGCAUGAACGCCAUCGUCGCCACGCUGCUUGCGCUCGUGCCACCCGGCGCCGGCCACGUGGUAACCACGACAGAGUGCUACAGCGAGGCGCGCGCCUUCAUCCGCGACAAGCUCUCCAAGAUGGGCAUCAAGGUGACAUUCGUCGAGCUGAAUGACAUGGAGACACUCAAGGCCGUUCUUGACCAGGGCGACGUGACACUCUUCUACACUGACUGUCCGACAAACCCCCACCUCAAGUGCAUCGACAUUAAGCUCGUAGCGGAGCUGUGUCACCGCAAAGGGGCUCUGGUGUGCAUCGACAGCACCCUCGCCUCGACCAUCAAUCAGAAGCCACUCACCAUCGGGGCCGAUAUCGUCGUGCACUCUGCCACAAAGUACAUUGCCGGCCAUCACGACGUCAUUGCAGGAUGCAUCAGCGGCUCGGAUGCGCUCAUCUCUAGGAUACGUGCGUGGCAUCACGACCUCGGCGGCGCCAUUAGUCCGGACGCGGCCUACAUGAUCAUACGCGGCCUCAAGACGAUGGCGCUUCGCGUGGAAACACAAAACCACACUGCAUUGCGCAUGGCGCGCUUGCUCGAGAACCAUCCCAAGAUUGAGCGGGUGUACUACCCUGGACUCAUCAGCAGCCCAUGGCACCACAUCGCCAAGAGCCAGAUGACCGGUUGCGGUGGCGUCAUCAGCUUUGAGGUGGCAUCAGACCUGCACGGCGUCAUGAGGUUCAUCGACGCAUUGGAGAUACCCUUCAUUGCAACCUCACUUGGUGGGUGUGAGAGCCUCGUGCAACAGCCGGCAGUCAUGUCCUUUUGGGGGGAGAGUGAUGAGGAGAAGGCCAAGAAUGGGAUCAAGGACAACUUGGUGAGGUUUAGCUUCGGGAUUGAGAAGUUUGAGGAUCUCAGGGAUGACAUUCUCCAAGCCCCGGAGAAAAUUUACGAUUAUUCUUGA
rnacentral:rRNA from 1 species